AAAGGGAAUAUAGGUGGAAUUUCAAAAUCUGUGCGUUCAGCUAUUUGGUUUUGCCUUUUUCACUGUUAUUAUAAGAAUGCUGUUACCGGGAUUAUGUGCGUGCAAGAGUGAGUGUGUGUGUGUUUGCGUGUGUGUGUGUUUGCGUUUGUGUGUGUGUGUGUGUGUACGUACUUUCUAUCAAUAUUAAAAGAUAAACAGCCAGGCAGGAAGUGACGAGGUUAGCACCAUCUUAGGCUUGCAUCUCUGUGGGUGCACCCAAGUCCUCGAGCUAAAUCUGUGACUAAGCCACCCUGGGUGUUGGGGUUUCACUGUCCCCACCUGGUAGUGCUACCCUCCACUGGCCUGCAGCUCCUGACACCUGCCCUGGCCAGCAGAGACUUGGAGGCUGGUGUGUUUCCUUUCUAAGGGCAUACAGGGUGGUGUAUUACAGUGCUCUGAAAUGUAUCAUUAGAUUUAAUGUUCCAGUAAUGAGCCAACUGAGUUCUACUUUGUAUAUGGAUAUGUUCCUAAAACAUUGACAGUAAAUUGAGUGCAGAUAGUGAAAUUCCCACACACACACCUACACACACACACACACACACACACACACACACAACACACGUGUCUGUUUCCUCAGGAAAUCAUUUAAGCCCCAACACAUCACAUGUGACCUUAACAUGAAAACAAAAGUUUUCUCUGCCUUGAUAUUAAAUACACUAAGUAAAUAAACUGAGAUGCGUAGAUUAGGAAAUCACUUAAUUGUACCACAGUCUGCAUAUCUUUGCAUUCCUGCAGGCAGGGAUUAGACCAUGGUCUCACACCCAGUGUUCCUGUUGUCAUUUACUUCCAUCCAAGAGCACAUUUGGAGAAAGAACUAAGGUGUGCCUGUGAGAUGGAACUGAGGUGUGCCUGUGUGUCACUUUAGCCAGUGACUCACACUCACUGUUUAGUUCCAGCUCUCAACUUGUGCCAGACACGGUUUUCCCAAGCGAAGGUAACAUCAGGUUACGGACAGCAGCGCCACCUGAGCUCUCACGCUGGAGCGCAGCCACAGCUAGCAACGGUCACGGUGUAUGAAAUGCUGCAGAUACAGAGUUUUUGACUGUUUAAUUUGAAAGUUUACAUUUUUUAUGAUUGCGUUAGUGUGUAAUUUUUGUACCAUCAGUGGCUAGUUUUUGUCUAAAAUCUUUUUUGGAAUAUUGCUUAAUGUUUUGAUUUUAUGAUAGUGAAGCUUGUAUUCAGUGUUUUGCCAAUUAAUAUUAUAUGCUUGUAAUAAAAGCAGAAGAAAAACUUAACU
rnacentral:lncRNA from 1 species